AAGUAAAAGAAAAAGUGGAAUAGGAUAGGUUCUUUUUUCUUUUUGGAAGUCAUUGAUCAUCCUUACCUAUGUACUUGGUUGAGACAUUGAAUUUGAUUCUCUGGCAUAUAGUACAUGGUUCAUGCAUCAUAUUUAGAUUUGGAGAAAUAUUGAAGCCAUUCAUGAUUUUUUAUUCAUAUAUUGAAGCCACUCAUAAUUCUUGCUUCUUUUUUAUUUGAUGAAGUGCGUGCAUCAACAAUCAACAUGCUUCUCAGUUCAAUCUUUUGAUUACAAUAUAGGGGGUUAAAAUAUUUUAAGUUGACUUUUUGAAGCCAUUUCUUUUCUCUCUUAAAUAAUACUUGCUUUGGACAUAACUUCUUAGAUGAUUUUACAUAUAAUUGAAGAAGUUGAGAAUGUAUGAAGCUGAAAAUUAGAUUUAUUGAUCUUUUUAAUUAGGAUUGUUUUUGAAAAUCAGAUUUUUCUGGCAACAUAAGCUGAAACAAGAACACUCUUAGUGGCAGUAGUUGUUGUUAGUAAUAAAAAAGUAGCAGUUGUUGUUAAUAAUAAAAAAUGUUUAGUGUUUGAUUAUUUAUUUCAUCUCGAGAAUGCAAUGCACUAUGUUGGGACUUUGGAAGAUGGAACCAUGUUUGAUUCUAGUAGGGAUAAAGAUCAACCUAUAAAGUUCACUCUUGGUCAAGGUAUUUAUUAAAGCAAGUACUGCUUGUUUUUUGAUGCCUUGUUUUUCUUGAACAAUCAAUACAUGACUACAUAAAUUUUUGACAUUGAUCUUUGAAACCCAGGGGUAUGGAUCUUUUUUAUUGCGGGAUUUGCCCUUUGAUAUUAAGGAAGAAAGACCUAGUGCACUUUUAAAAGUAUGGGUUUUUUGCUUUCUUGGACACACCAGCUUGAGUGGUAACUUUUAGCAUGGUCCAAAUUCUCACCAAAUUAUGAACUGUACCUUAACUGCUCAGAGCAGGUUCAGAGAGCUAUUGCCAAAAUUGGUUUGCUGAUCAGCCAAAAUUGAAUGCUUCCAUUGGUUUGCUGAUAAAAAAAUUGGUUUGCUGAUCAGCCAAAAUUGAAUGCUAUGAACUUGAACUUGAAAUACUCAUUGUUCAGUAGGUAGUUUAGAGCAAAGUUUUACAAUAAAAGGAGAUAAUUAACAGAAGAGACAUACUUACACUGUAGAGAGACCUGCUAUUAAGAACAUUAGACUCAUCUUAUUUUUACUUAUUGCGGUUAAGGGUGCUUUAUUUUUUUUUAGCAGCAAAGUGUUAAGAAUGAUCACUAUUGACUAUGCAACAUAUAUUCUAGAUUUUGUGGUGUGAGUUGAGAUUUUGUUCACUAUUGACUAUGCAACAUAUAUUCUGGAUUUUGUGCAUUAUUUGCAUCAUGGUGUUACAUUCUCGAUCCUUUAUUGGAAAGCUGGGAUGAUGAAGAAGAAGCAGCAGCAGAAAGAGCAAGUGAAGUGAAUUUUGCAGAUGAGAUAAGUGGAAUUAACACAGGACCUCCUUCACCAACUUCAUCUAUUAAUUAUUAGAGCAGUAAAAAUUGUUCAAAUAAGUUAGGAAAUUGAAUAGGAGUUGCUUGCAAUAUAGGUCUUUUAAUUUACUAGUAUGAGGAAAAUCAUUUAGAGCCCUUUGGAUACUCAUUAACAACUUUUAAUUUAUUCAAUAGACUUUGUUGAUGUAUGUUUGUUACUUAUUAUUAUAUUUGAUGUAUCAAUACACUUUGUUUAUAUUUUGAAUUA